UACGUAGGGGGCAAGCGUUGUCCGGAUUUAUUGGGCGUAAAGAGCGUGUAGGCGGCCUGAAAGGUCAGCUGUGAAAACUCGAGGCUCAACCUCGAGACGUCGGUUGAAACCAUCUGGCUAGAGUCCGGAAGAGGAGAGUGGAAUUCCCGGUGUAGCGGUGAAAUGCGCAGAUAUCGGGAAGAACACCCGUGGCGAAGGCGGCUCACUGGCCCGGUACUGACGCUGAGGUGCGAAAGCGUGGGGAGCAAACAGG
rnacentral:rRNA from 1 species